rnacentral:rRNA from 1 species
UACGUAGGGGGCAAGCGUUGUCCGGAUUUAUUGGGCGUAAAGAGCGUGUAGGCGGCUUUGCAAGUCCGUUGUGAAAACUCGAGGCUCAACCUCGAGACGCCGGUGGAAACUGCAAAGCUAGAGUCCGGAAGAGGAGAGUGGAAUUCCUGGUGUAGCGGUGAAAUGCGCAGAUAUCAGGAAGAACACCCGUGGCGAAGGCGGGUCUCUGGACAGUUCCUGACACUGAGGCACGAAGGCCAGGGGAGCAAACGGG